CAGUAGCCGCGGGAAUACGAAGGGGGCUAGCGUUGUUCGGAUUUACUGGGCGUAAAGCGCACGUAGGCGGACUUUUAAGUCAGGGGUGAAAUCCCGGGGCUCAACCCCGGAACUGCCUUUGAUACUGGGAGUCUUGAGUUCGAGAGAGGUGAGUGGAAUUGCGAGUGUAGAGGUGAAAUUCGUAGAUAUUCGCAGGAACACCAGUGGCGAAGACGGCUCACUGGCUCGAUACUGACGCUGAGGUGCGAAAGCGUGGGGAGCAAACAGGAUUAGAUACCCGCGUAGUCCCUGUCUCUUAUAC
rnacentral:rRNA from 1 species